rnacentral:rRNA from 1 species
GACGGAGGAUGUAAGUGUUAUCCGGAAUCACUGGGCGUAAAGCGUCUGUAGGUGGUCAAAUAAGUCAACUGUUAAAUCUUGAGGCUUAACCUCAAAAUCGCAGUCGAAACUAUUAGACUAGAGUAUAGUAGGGGUAAAGGGAAUUUCCAGUGGAGCGGUGAAAUGCGUAGAGAUUGGAAAGAACACCGAUGGCGAAGGCACUUUACUGGGCUAUUACUAACACUCAGAGACGAAAGCUAGGGUAGCAAAUGGG